rnacentral:rRNA from 1 species
UACGCAGGGGGCAAGCGUUGUCCGGAUUUAUUGGGCGUAAAGAGCGUGUAGGCGGCCACACAGGUCAGCUGUGAAAACUCGAGGCUCAACCUCGAGACGUCGGUUGAAACCGUAUGGCUAGAGUCCGGAAGAGGAGAGUGGAAUUCCCGGUGUAGCGGUGAAAUGCGCAGAUAUCGGGAAGAACACCCGUGGCGAAGGCGGCUCUCUGGGACGGUACUGACGCUGAGACGCGAAAGCGUGGGGAGCGAACAGG